rnacentral:rRNA from 1 species
CCUACGGGUGGCUGCAGUGGGGAAUAUUGGACAAUGGGGGCAACCCUGAUCCAGCCAUGCCGCGUGUGUGAAGAAGGCCCUCGGGUUGUAAGGCACUUUCAGUGAGGAAGAACGCCUGGUGGUUAAUACCCAUCAGGAAAGACAUCACUCACAGAAGAAGCACCGGCUAACUCCGUGCCAGCAGCCGCGGUAAUACGGAGGGUGCGAGCGUUAAUCGGAAUUACUGGGCGUAAAGCGCGCGUAGGUGGCUUGAUAAGCCGGUUGUGAAAGCCCCGGGCUCAACCUGGGAACGGCAUCCGGAACUGUCAAGCUAGAGUGCAGGAGAGGAAGGUAGAAUUCCCGGUGUAGCGGUGAAAUGCGUAGAGAUCGGGAGGAAUACCAGUGGCGAAGGCGGCCUUCUGGACUGACACUGACACUGAGGUGCGAAAGCGUGGGUAGCAAACAGGAUUAGAUACCCUUGUAGUC